AUGGAGCCGACCUUGAAAUACCACCCUUUAAUGUUUGAUGUUCUAACGUUGACCCGUAAUCCGGGUUGCGGACAGUGUCUGGUGGGUAGUUUGACUGGGGCGGUCUCCUCCUAAAGAGUAACGGAGGAGCACGAAGGUUGGCUAAUCCUGGUCGGACAUCAGGAGGUUAGUGCAAUGGCAUAAGCCAGCUUGACUGCGAGCGUGACGGCGCGAGCAGGUGCGAAAGCAGGUCAUAGUGAUCCGGUGGUUCUGAAUGGAAGGGCCAUCGCUCAACGGAUAAAAGGUACUCCGGGGAUAACAGGCUGAUACCGCCCAAGAGUUCAUAUCGACGGCGGUGUUUGGCACCUCGAUGUCGGCUCAUCACAUCCUGGGGCUGAAGUAGGUCCCAAGGGUAUGGCUGUUCGCCAUUUAAAGUGGUACGCGAGCUGGGUUUAGAACGUCGUGAGACAGUUCGGUCCCUAUCUGCCGUGGGCGCUGGAGAACUGAGGGGGGCUGCUCCUAG
rnacentral:rRNA from 1 species